CGACCCUAAAAACAAUACAGUCAUUACACUACUGUCACACGGCCCUGCACACAAUACACCAUAUAUAACACGACCCUAAAAACAAUACAGUUGUUAUACUAGUCACACGGCCCUGCACACAAUACGCUAUACAUAACACGACCCUAAAAACAAUACAGUCAUUACACUACUGUCACACGGCCUUGCACACAAUACACCAUAUAUAACACGACCCUAAAAACAAUACAGUCAUUACACUACUGUCACACGGCCCUGCACACAAUACACCAUAUAUAACACGACCCUAAAAACAAUACAGUCAUUACACUACUGUCACACGGCCCUGCACACAAUACGCUAUACAAAAACGAUUUGAUGCGAUUCGUUAUUUUAAGUCUUUGUUCUCCCCGAUUGGACAGCGCUUAAAGAUCAGAAGAGUCGGCAAAAAAAAAGAGAUUUGAUUUAUGAAAACCACAGCUUGUUUAUUAGAAUCCUUGAGCGUGGGUUCGCAGAUCUCUCAAAGUCGCAUUCACUAAAGACUGAUGCAGAAGACCUUAAUAUGGCGCUAUAUCAUGACGUACCUUCAGAAAGUCCACGCCACCUUCCCUCUUUACUACUCGACGCAUGUCAUGAGCGACGUUGAAUAUCACGUGCAGCUGAAAAAUUAAAUUGAUAAAUAUAAAUAAACAUGUUUUUGUUUAAAUUCUGUAUUGGAAGACAAAUAAAUUUGAAGAAAUUUCGAAAUAACCACCUAAAAACGUCUAAAAUAGAUGUUGAUUUCAUUUACAAAAUCAUCCAUCGAUAAAAAAAAUUCGUCAUCUGUAUAUUGUUUAACGUGUUCUGGAUGAUCGUAUGGAAACAAGACUUAGAGUUAGAGACCAAGCGCGGAUUGUAAUCUGUACAUUGUGUGUUAAUUUGUUCUAGAUGAUCACACGGAAACGAAAAUUUAGAAUUAUCUGCCAAAUACGGGUUUUAGUGGGGUAAAUUGUUAAAUGUAUAUUAGAUGGUCAUAUAGAAACGAGCGUUUAGAGUUAUCUGCCAAAUACGGGUUUUAGUGGGGUAAAUUGUUAAAUGUAUAUUAGAUGGUCAUAUAGAAACGAGCGUUUAGAGUUAUCUAUACAGACACGGGCGGACAUGAGACAACCAAUGAAUAUCACACCACCAAGGCAAGGACAAGCGUUUGCACUCAACACCACAGACCAUUCUCACAUCCUCCAUGUACCUGCUCUUUCGUGAGCUGGCCAGCGCUGAGGAUGUGGCCGGUGAUCACUUGUGCUGGGAUGACGGGCAUGACGUCACGCAGCACUGGGGCCUGCACAGCCACCGGGGUGGAGGGGCCGCGUGAGACUGGUUCUGACAUGUGUGGGGAGGUGUCUACUAAAAAAAGAAGGAACAGGUCAGAUCGGCAAGGGGAGACGGUUUGAGCCGUGAUAUGUUAACCACAGCUUUAUAGUACGACGCACGCUACCUUGGCCAAAUUGGCGAUUUAAAGAAACGAUAAGAACUUCCUUAGCCAACCAGUGUGGCAAAGACAUGCUUUAACGAGGAUCCAUUGGAGGGCAAGUCUGGUGCCAGCAGCCGCGGUGAUUCCAGCUCCAAUAGCGUAUAUUAAAGUUGUUGCAGU